UACGUAGGGUGCAAGCGUUGUCCGGAAUUAUUGGGCGUAAAGAGCUCGUAGGCGGUUUGUCGCGUCUGCUGUGAAAACUCAGGGCUUAACCCUGAGCCUGCAGUGGGUACGGGCAGACUAGAGUGUGGUAGGGGAGAUCGGAAUUCCUGGUGUAGCGGUGGAAUGCGCAGAUAUCAGGAGGAACACCGGUGGCGAAGGCGGAUCUCUGGGCCAUAACUGACGCUGAGGCACGAAAGCGUGGGUAGCAAACAGG
rnacentral:rRNA from 1 species